rnacentral:rRNA from 1 species
UACGUAGGGAGCAAGCGUUGUCCGGAUUUACUGGGUGUAAAGGGUGCGUAGGCGGCUUGGUAAGUCAGAUGUGAAAUGUAUGGGCUCAACCCAUGAACUGCAUUUGAAACUAUCGAGCUUGAGUGAAGUAGAGGCAGGCGGAAUUCCCUGUGUAGCGGUGAAAUGCGUAGAGAUAGGGAGGAACACCAGUGGCGAAGGCGGCCUGCUGGGCUUUAACUGACGCUGAGGCACGAAAGCGUGGGUAGCAAACAGGAUUAGAUACCCUGGUAGUCCACGCUGUAAACGAUGAUUACUAGGUGUGGGUGGACUGACCCCAUCCGUGCCGCAGUUAACACAAUAAGUAAUCCACCUGGGGAGUACGGCCGCAAGGUUGAAACUCAAAGGAAUUGACGGGGGCCCGCACAAGCAGUGGAGUAUGUGGUUUAAUUCGAAGCAACGCGAAGAACCUUACCAGGUCUUGACAUCGAGUGACGUAUCUAGAGAUAGAUAUUUCCUUCGGGACACGAAGACAGGUGGUGCAUGGUUGUCGUCAGCUCGUGUCGUGAGAUGUUGGGUUAAGUCCCGCAACGAGCGCAACCCUUGCUAUUAGUUGCUA